rnacentral:lncRNA from 1 species
CCUGGGGCCCUGUGCCGGUCACUGUGCCUCUUCCAGCCUCGGUAUCCUCUGGAAGGUGAGAAUGAAAAACACCCAAUGACACUCAGACUGGACAGGAGCAGGCCAAUCAGCCCUCCUUGGGAAGCCGCCGUCCUUGCCCGCUCUGCUCCUGGGGUCCCACCCAAGCUUCAAUCCUCGCUGUGUGGUCUUCCCUCCGUGAGCCUUCAUUUCCUCAUCGGUAAAAUGGGGGAGAGGAGAGCGCGGGGGUCAGCCCUGAGCCUGGCUGGUUGGCUACUUAAUGGGCUUCUGGUA